UACGGAGGGUGCAAGCGUUAUCCGGAUUCACUGGGUUUAAAGGGUGCGUAGGCGGGUAUAUAAGUCCGUGGUGAAAGCUCCGGGCUUAACUUGGAAACUGCCAUUGAUACUGUAUAUCUUGAAUGUCGUUGAGGUUAGCGGAAUGUUGCAUGUAGCGGUGAAAUGCUUAGAUAUGUUACAGAACACCAAUUGUGAAGACAGCUAACUAAGCGAUGAUUGACGCUGAGGCACGAAAGCGUGGGGAGCAAACAGG
rnacentral:rRNA from 1 species